UAGCGGCAGGCUUAACACAUGCAAGUCGAGGGGCAGCAGGCCGGGUAGCAAUACUCGGUGCUGGCGACCGGCGCACGGGUGCGUAACGCGUAUGCAACCUGCCCGUAACAGGGGUAUAACGGAGGGAAACUUCCACUAAUCCCCCAUAUUGUCACUUUUUCGCAUGGGGAGGCGACGAAAGCUUAAUUGUGGUUACGGACGGGCAUGCGUGACAUUAGGUAGUUGGCGGGGUAACGGCCCACCAAGCCGACGAUGUCUAGGGGAGCUGAGAGGCUUAUCCCCCACACUGGUACUGAGACACGGACCAGACUCCUACGGGAGGCAGCAGUGAGGAAUAUUGGUCAAUGGACGGAAGUCUGAACCAGCCAUGCCGCGUGGAGGAAGAAGGUCCUAUGGGUUGUAAACUCCUUUUGUUCCAGAGUAAUAAGGUCUUUGCGAAGACUGAUGAGAGUAUGGGACGAAUAAGCAUCGGCUAACUCCGUGCCAGCAGCCGCGGUAAUACGGAGGAUGCAAGCGUUAUCCGGAUUUAUUGGGUUUAAAGGGUGCGCAGGCGGCGCGUUAAGUCAGCGGUGAAAGGUCCCGGCUCAACCGGGGAGCUGCCGUUGAUACUGGCGUGCUGGAGUGCGGACGGCGCCGGCGGAAUGUGUCAUGUAGCGGUGACAUGCUUAGAGAUGACACAGAACACCGAUCGCGAAGCAGCUGGCGAGGCCGUUACUGACGCUGAGGCACGAAAGCG
rnacentral:rRNA from 1 species